CAAGUAGAUAUAAUAAAAAGCAAGUUUGCUGCAAGGUUAAAUGUAGUAUCUUACAUCACAAUCUCACCAACCAAACCAACCUUUAUUUCUUUAUGAGGAAGUACAAGGCAAUUUUGAACGCGUACUUCAUCAUGGACUAUACAAUCGGCGCCCAUAACAGUAAUAGCUUGGACUUUAACGCUGUUACGCAUAAUCGUAGUGGAGUGCUGGCUUGGAAGAGUUGGAGAACCUUCGACUCGAGACCAUUUACCAAUCUUGCAAUGGCGGGAAAGAAUGGAAUGUAAAACAACAGCAUUGGCAGAAAUUUCGCAAUCCUCUUGAAUAAUUGAGUUUCGAAUACGUGCGCCAUCCUCGAUGCGAACACGAGCACCAAUUGAAACAUUGGGUCCAAUCUUUGCACCUUUGCUAACAAUAGCAUUAGGAUGAAUAAAAACCGGCUGAAUGAUCUCAGCCUCAGUGUCGGGUUUUGGAAGAGUACCAUCAUGAUAUGCCUUUUGUAAAUACAAGGAAUUAGCAGGAACAGCAGAGCCAGCGGUUUUUAUUUGACGCCAGAACUCAGGAGUAUUAUAAGCAUAAAUGGCUUUAGAGGAAUCUGAGCACAAUGGAGCAAGCACAUCGGUCUCCAAACUGAGGUAGUCUUCCAUUCCUUCAUCCAAGGACCUGAGUUGCUUCUCGACCUCCUCAAGUCUACGCUCGUACGCUUUUUUGAUUUCAUCGAAUAUAGAGGCAUCAAAGAUAUAAAUACCACAUGAAAUAAUAUUUGAAAGAUAGGAGCUUGGCUUAUCAACAUAAUGAAGUACACGCCCAGUACUUGGUUCCUCUACAAGGCAACCGAAGUUAGAAGCAUCUUCUUUACUAACCUUAGUAGCCAUUAAAGUAACUAAAGCUUUCUUCUCGUGAUGAACGUUUAACAAUUCUUGUAAGGGAAAACUGCAACACACAUCCGCAUGCAUAACAAAAACAUUAGAAGUAUGUCCUUUAAGGAUUUGAUCACGGAAAUGGUAUAAGCCGCCACCAGUUCCUAAGCAGUUGUAUUCACGGAGAUACUUGAUACGAUUGAAACUGGGGAAAUGCGAAGCUACUUCGUUGAUAAAAUCUUUGAAAACGCUUUCAUCGUAGAAACCAACCAAAAAGACAUCUUUAACACUUUCAAUCUUGGAUAAAGCCGCCAAAUGAUGGUAAAUCAUUUCUCGUCCUCCAAUUUUAAACAAAGGCUAAUUUAGUUAGCAAAAUAGCUCUUAUGUUUCAAAUGCAACUAGAAAGUAAAACUGGAUUACGUAUUUUACCAACAUAUAAAUUCUAAAUAAGACGUACUUUAGGGACAUCAAACGAAAGAGGGCGGAAUCGGGUACCACUGCAAAGUAAUUAGUUACUGAUAUUCACGCGUUUAAUAGACUUAUUUUUCGUUGGUACGUACCGAGAUGGACCCCCGACCAGAAUGACAGCAGAGGAAAUCAUAAUAGCAAUUUAAUACUAAAAAAUCAAUAAUGAGUAUCAAAAUCACCAAAAACGAAAGAGAUAUACGCCUCUUGAAACUUGGUGUGUGGUUCUGUGCAAGUCCUGUCCAGCUCUCCUUUGUUUAAU